GUGUUGUGAAAUGUUGGGUUAAGUCCCGCAACGAGCGCAACCCUUAUCCUUGUUUGCCAGCACUUUCGGGUGGGAACUCCAGGGAGACUGCCGGUGAUAAACCGGAGGAAGGUGGGGACGACGUCAAGUCAUCAUGGCCCUUACGAGUAGGGCUACACACGUGCUACAAUGGCGCAUACAGAGGGCGGCCAACUUGCGAAAGUGAGCGAAUCCCAAAAAGUGCGUCGUAGUCCGGAUUGGAGUCUGCAACUCGACUCCAUGAAGUCGGAAUCGCUAGUAAUCGUGGAUCAGAAUGCCACGGUGAAUACGUUCCCGGGCCUUGUACACACCGCCCGUCACACCAUGGGAGUGGGCUGCAAAAGAAGUGGGUAGUUUAACCUUCGGGAGGACGCUCACCACUUUGUGGUUCAUGACUGGGGUGAAGUCGUAACAAGGUAACCG
rnacentral:rRNA from 1 species